UAGUGGUUUAAACAAUUUACUUAAUUUAGCAUGAAGAGGCGUUUUCUUUUUGUUCAAAAAAGAAAUUUACUUGCUGCACUUUACUAUAUAUUGUGUUAUUUAGAUUUAAUGUUAUUAACAUAUUUAUCUUUCACGCUUAACCCGUUUCACACAAAAAUCCUCUUAACAGCUGUCCCGGCGCAAAUAAAAAAAAACCUUCGUCAAAUCCAUUCCGGGUAACAGGUAAACGCGAUGUAUUCAAUGAAAAAAAAAAUGACGUGCUCGUGGUCUACCGACCGUAUAUUUCAAAAGACGUAGAUGCGAAGGCUUUUAUCCAAAAAAUCCUUUGUCGGAGCGCAAAUGAAUUUUUUUCAUGGAUCUCGGUGCGAACAUUUUUCCUCUGUUCCAAAGCAGCGAUUGCAAUCGAAUUUAAACGUCCGCCAUUAACUCAUCUUCCGACCUAUCAAUUAGAGCCUUCGUACCGGUUCCAUGUUCCUCUCGUGAAAAAAAUAUCUGAAGAGUUGCUGGACGAACAUUUUACUGGACAUAAGUACAAUAUACAGAUCAGACAGGACAGGACAUUUUGAACGGAAUAUUAUGAUAGGGAUUCAACUUUAUCUCAAAAAGUGAAUCUCUGGAAUGAAAUCUGGAAUUAAUCUGGAAUGAAAACCUCUGGUUUUCUACGUGACAUUGGCGAAAUCAUUUGUGCUCAUUUGGUACUAUUGAAAGCCAUUAACCCUGAACAAGAAGAAGAUCUCAAAAAGUGAAAUCACAGAACAUGGUCAAGGAAAAAUGGUUACUGCAGAAAUAUCCUGCUCAAAAUCUGCAGCAGUCUGACUGGAGAAGUAUCUCGACCUUACAGAAGAUUAUUUUACCGUCACACAACGCUUCAAGAUCUUCAUAGUACAAUUAAUUUAAUCAACAGAGAUUUAGCUAACAUUUCUUCCCUAAGAUCUUCGAGGAGACUAAUGUUAAAAUUGCCUGUUCAUAAAACAAAAUUUUUCAGUCAGUCUUUCACCAUUCGGGCAAUUAAGCUAUGGAAUAAUUUACCAUUAUGUAUCAAAGAAGC
rnacentral:misc_RNA from 1 species